UUAAGUCACCUGCAUUGAGCUAAUUAGAUUAUUUACAUACAAACAAACUUUACCUUUAACAGAAAUGUUUGUUUUCAAUUUCAAUUCACUUUAUUUAUGUUUUACUUAUGAUUUGCAAUUUUUAUAGUUAAAAAUUUUUCGAUAAAGGUAACAUUGGUAAGAUUAAUCGAACAGACGGGAAAACAAAUACGUAACACCAACAUUGCAAGUUUUAUUAAAAGCCAGAUUUUGAAAUGUCCCAUCGCCUAAAUGACCUCAACCCUGCUGACCCGAGAUCUAAACUCAUCCUCAACAUAAAAUGGAAUAAGAAAACCAAACACCACAAGAAUUUGUUGGAAUUAGACGAAAUUACGGAAGGUAGUACAAUCAAGAAGCGAAAACAAGACGACACCGUUAACCAUGUGGAGGAAGCGGUGUCGACGACUGAAAGUGAACCUGUCCCAAGUUGUUCAACAAGUGCUUCUGUUGUCAUUCCAGAACAAGAAGGAGGAGUCCGAACGCCAUUGUCCUGCAAUACCACCACCACCGACGACAAUUUUCCAAAUUUCUUGACACAGUUUGACUCCACCCUAAAUUCACUGUUGAGAAACGACCCUAUCCUCUCCGACCUUGCAGAUAGUCACCUCACUGUAGAAAGUAUCGAAUCGCAGUUGGCCUUCGAAUGUGGACAAGGGGUCCGAAUCAACUUGAAACGUGAGGACGGCUCAAUUCUUCCAAUUCUUAUCAAGAAGAACGAAACAGUGCGAGGACUCAUGAAGCGAAUUCAAACAGAGACGGAAAGAGAGCUUAAAAAUAUGUCUGAAAAGCGGAGAAACAUUCAUUGGAGGUUGAUCUGGCGUCAAAAUUGGUUGGUCGUAGUGACGAGUGAUGGUGAACAAUUAAAAUUAACGAAUGACAAGGCACGCCUGAUAGAUGUGGGACUAGUUAAUAAUACAGAGAUUAGGUUUUCUAAGAAGUUGAGAGAUAAGAAACCGACGAGUCAACUUGUAAAGAAGAAGAAAAUAAACCGAAACCGGAAGUGAACUGCUACAGUUUUGGGACAGGAUUCAUCACCUCUAAGCAUGUCUCUCUACCGGAAUGGCAACGGGAACUCUGAUGCUGGAGAAAUAACCGUAUUUUUAGGAUCUUUCGUACACGCUGAGAGUGGAAAUAAUCCCUUUGUCUUGGUCAAUAAUGGAGUUAUUGGGGUACAACAUGGGAAGAUAAUUUUUGUGGACGUGGAAGACAAUCUGGAUGUGCUCAAGGAAAAGUUUUCUUUCAGUGGGGACAAUAUCCAAGUUAUGGGACAAGGUGAAUUCAUCAUGCCGGGACUGGUGGACACACAUAUUCACGCUCCGCAAUAUCCAAACGCCGGACUGGGACUUGACCUUCCACUACUGGAAUGGUUGGAAAAAUAUACGUUUCCUAUGGAGAGUCGGUUCGAAGAUGUCUCAUUUGCUCGUGCCUGUUACAAGAAAGUCGUGCAACGCACUGUAAACUGUGGUACAACCACUGCCUCAUAUUUUGCGACAAUCCAUAAGGCUGCAGCGGAAAUUUUGGCUGAUAUUGUGGAGCUCUCGGGUCAGCGAGCAUUCAUCGGGAAGGUCAAUAUGGAUUGCUAUUCGCCUGAUAAUUAUUGUGAAACGACGGCAGACUCACUCAAGUCUACUGAAGAGUUUAUUCUGAAUAUUAACAAGCGAAAGAAUUCUCGAGUCCAACCCAUCAUAACACCACGUUUUGCUCUAACUUGUUCAGAAGAACUUAUGACUGGGUUGGGCAACUUGGCCAAAAAGUAUGACGUAAACAUUCAGACUCAUCUUUGUGAAUCAAUUCCUGAAGUGCAGCGUGCUUUGGAGCUCUUUCCAAAUUGCAAGAACUAUACGGAGAUUUACGAAAAAGUAGGAUUGUUAACUAACAAGUCCAUUAUGGCUCAUUGCGUCCACAUGACUGAUGAAGAGAUAGGUCUCUUGAAGAAGUAUUCUACUGGGGUUGCUCACUGUCCUGCAUCCAAUAUGUGCCUUCUCAGUGGUCUUUGCCCUAUUAGGAAAAUACACGACGCCGGGGUUUCAGUUGGGCUUGGAACUGAUGUAUCUGGUGGUUAUACGGCAUCAAUCCUGGAACAAAUGCGACUUGCAAUCAUCAUGUCGAAAUGUUUGAAGAUGGAAGAUCGCUCAUGUCCUCGAGAAGCACUUAAUUAUAAAGAAGUCUUCUACUUUGCCACUUUGGGGGGAGCGAACGCUCUCUCAAUUGGGGACAAAAUUGGAAAUUUUAAAGUUGGCAAGUACUUUGACGCACUCCAUAUUGACUUAGCCUCUGCUGAUUCACCCGUGCAUUUGUUCCCUGGAGAAACAUUACUCGACAUGGUAGAGAAAUUUAUCAUGUUGGGUGAUGAUCGAAACAUCGUACAAGUUUUCGUGGAUGGGAAAAACGUUAAAAAAUCUGUCCAGCCAUUGUUGCUCACUUAAUAAUUGUUGCCUGCCUAUGUACUGAAUCAGAGUAUAAAUGAAAAAAAUAAGAAAGACAGACCAUGAUACAGAAGACAGAAAAGAAAUAGUAAUAAUAAUAGUAACCAAUACAAUGCAAAAAAAUCUAUGCAAUUUGCAAUAAUAUCCAACAUUCUACUCAAAAAUAGACAGAUGCCAGAAGAGUUUAGUUUUAAAUACUAAAUGCGCUACGUACACUACAAAAUGAUAAUAUUUGCUCACUAUUAUUAUACUAAUCCCACAAAAAAUAGAAGGCUUUUAAUACGCAUUUACAUAUGUAUGUGAUUCGAGCCUUAUUUUUUGCUGCUACUGCCUGGUACAAAUUUUGUCUAAUAAUAAUAAUCAAAUUUUAUUUUUGAGCUUACAUAUUUUAAACUUUAACAAGAAUGGUGCUGCUGUGCAGAAAGAAACGAUUUUAUGGCGAAAUAAACCAAACAUAAGUUGCAACUUGUGUUACAAUAAUGUG